rnacentral:rRNA from 1 species
GACGAACCGUGCGAACGUUAUUCGGAAUCACUGGGCUUAAAGCGCGUGUAGGCGGGAAGGCACGUCGGUCGCUGAAAUCCCCCGGCUCAACCGGGGAAGUGGCGCCGAUACGACCUUCCUGGAGGGACGUAGGGGGACCUGGAACUUCCGGUGGAGCGGUGAAAUUCGUAGAUAUUCGGAAGAACACCAGUGGCGAAGGCGACUUACUGGACACAUAUUGACGCUGAGGUGCGAAAGCGUGGGGAGCAAACAGG